rnacentral:rRNA from 1 species
AUUGAACGCUGGCGGCAGGCUUAACACAUGCAAGUCGAGCGGAGCGAGGGUGCUUGCACCUUAGCUUAGCGGCGGACGGGUGAGUAAUGCUUAGGAAUCUGCCUAUUAGUGGGGGACAACAUUCCGAAAGGGAUGCUAAUACCGCAUACGCCCUACGGGGGAAAGCAGGGGAUCUUCGGACCUUGCGCUAAUAGAUGAGCCUAAGUCGGAUUAGCUAGUUGGUGGGGUAAAGGCCUACCAAGGCGACGAUCUGUAGCGGGUCUGAGAGGAUGAUCCGCCACACUGGGACUGAGACACGGCCCAGACUCCUACGGGAGGCAGAAGUGGGGAAUAUCGGACAAUGGGGGGAACCCUGAUCCAGCCAUGCCGCGUGUGUGAAGAAGGCCUUUUGGUUGUAAAGCACUUUAAGCGAGGAGGAGGCGCUCUAGGAUAAUACCCUAGAUGCGUGGACGUUACUCGCAGAAUAAGCACCGGCUAACUCUGUGCCAGCCGCCGCCGUAACAC